CGUUAGGGCCAUCGUAGUUAUACUUUAUAAUCCAGAGGGCAACAAUAAGACAGUGCGAUAGAACAACGACGACAAUACAACAGUGCGAUGACGACAAUGCGAUAGUGCGAUGGCGACAAUGCGAUGGCGACAGUGCGACAAUGCGAUAGUGUGAUGCCGAUAAUGCGAUGCCGACAGUGCGAUAAUGCAAUGGCGACAAUACGAUAGUGCGAUGCGAUGUCAGGAUAUACAGGAAAAUACAUACAGAUAUACAGUACGAUUGCGAUAGCAACGAUCAGAAAAUACCACAGAGCUUGCAGCCCUUUGAUUAUUACUUGGGGACAAUACUCCGCCUUUCAUGGAAUGGCACUUCUGUGUCACAUUGAAGGUUCCAUGAUACCCGCG